CCAAUAGCGUAUAUUAAAGUUGUUGCAGUUAAAAAGCUCGUAGUUGAAUUUCGGGAUCAAUAUUUCGGUCAUGCCGUUGGUAUGCACUGUUAUCAUUGAUUUCUCACCUUCUAAAGAACCGUAAUGCCAUUAAUUUGGUGUUACGGGGAAUUAGGACUGUUACCUUGAAAAAAUUAGAGUGUUUAAAGCAGGCUCACGCUUGAAUACAUUAGCAUGGAAUAAUGAAAUAGGACGUUUGAUUCUAUUUUGUUGGUUUCUAGGAUCGACGUAAUGAUUAAU
rnacentral:rRNA from 1 species